CCUAAGGCGAGGCCGACAGGCGUAGUCGAUGGACAACGGGUUGAUAUUCCCGUACCCGCUUCAAUGCGCCCAUAUCGAACCUCGUGAUGCUAAGAGUCCUUAAGUCCUCUGAUGUCCUUCGGGACUAGGGGUGAGGCUGAACGCUCGAUCCGAUCGGGUAGUAGGUAAGCGAUGGGGUGACGCAGGAAGGUAGUCCAGCCCAGGCGAUGGUUGUCCUGGGGUAAGCAUGUAGGGCGUGUCGUAGGUAAAUCCGCGGCGCAUGAUGCCUGAGAUGUGAUGCCGAGCCGAUUGUGGUGAAGUGGAUGAUCCUAUGCUGCCGAGAAAAGCCUCUAGUGAGUGUUGUGGCGGCCCGUACCCUAAACCGACUCAGGUGGUCAGGUAGAGAAUACCAAGGCGAUCGGGUGAACUGUGGUUAAGGAACUCGGCAAAUUGCCCCCGUAACUUCGGGAGAAGGGGGACCUCUGUUGGUGAUGGGCUUUACGCCUUGAGCUGGUGGGGGUCGCAGUGGCCAGGGGGAAGCGACUGUUUACUAAAAACACAGGUCCGUGCGAAGUCGUAAGACGAUGUAUACGGACUGACGCCUGCCCGGUGCCGGAACGUUAAGGGGACUGCUUAGUCAACGCAAGUUGGCGAAGGUGAGAACUUAAGCGCCGGUAAACGACGGUGGUAACUAUAACCAUCCUAAGGUAGCGAAAUUCCUUGUCGGGUAAGUUCCGACCUGCACGAAUGGCGUAACGACUUCCCCGCUGUCUCAACCGCAGACCCGGCGAAAUUGCACUACGAGUAAAGAUGCUCGUUUCGCGCAGCAGGACGGAAAGACCCCGGGACCUUCACUACAGCUUGACAUUGGCGUUUGGAACGUCUUGUGUAGGAUAGGUGGGAGACUGGGAAGCUGUCACGCUAGUGAUGGUGGAGUCAUUGGUGAAAUACCACUCUGGUCGUUUUGAACGUCUAACUCUGGUCCGUGAUCCGGAUCGGGGACAGUGUCUGGUGGGUAGUUUAACUGGGGCGGUUGCCUCCUAAAGAGUAACGGAGGCGCCCAAAGGUUCCCUCAGCCUGGUUGGCAAUCAGGAGUUGAGUGUAAGUGCACAAGGGAGCUUGACUGUGAGACUGACAGGUCGAGCAGGAGCGAAAGCUGGGACUAGUGAUCCGGCAUCGGCGUGUGGAAGCGGUGUCGCUCAACGGCUAAAAGGUACCCCGGGGAUAACAGGCUGAUCUUCCCCAAGAGUCCAUAUCGACGGGAUGGUUUGGCACCUCGAUGUCGGCUCGUCGCAUCCUGGGGCUGGAGUAGGUCCCAAGGGUUGGGCUGUUCGCCCAUUAAAGCGGUACGCGAGCUGGGUUUAGAACGUCGCGAGACAGUUCGGUCCCUAUCCGCUGCGCGCGCAGGAGACUUGAAGGGGGCUGUCCCUAGUACGAGAGGACCGGGACGGACGAACCUCUGGUGUGCCAGUUGUACCGCCAGGUGCACGGCUGGUUGGCUACGUUCGGAAGGGAUAACCGCUGAAAGCAUCUAAGCGGGAAGCUCGCCUUGAGAUGAGGUCUCCCACCCCGUGAGGGGGUAAGGCUCCCGGUAGACGACCGGGUUGAUAGGCCGGAGGUGGAAGCACGGUAACGUGUGGAGCUGACCGGUACUAAUAGGCCGAGGACUUGACC
rnacentral:rRNA from 1 species